rnacentral:rRNA from 1 species
UACGAAGGGGGCUAGCGUUGCUCGGAAUCACUGGGCGUAAAGGGUGCGUAGGCGGGUCUUUUAAGUCAGGGGUGAAAUCCUGGAGCUCAACUCCAGAACUGCCUUUGAUACUGAAGAUCUUGAGUUCGGGAGAGGUGAGUGGAACUGCGAGUGUAGAGGUGAAAUUCGUAGAUAUUCGCAAGAACACUAGUGGCGAAGGCGGCUCACUGGCCCGGUACUGACGCUGAGGCGCGAAAGCGUGGGGAGCAAACAGG